CCUCUCGUAGCUCAGCGGUUAGAGCGCACGACACGUCGUUUUACGACGGCGGGUCGUGAGGCGCGGGUUCAAGUCCCGCCGGGGGGC
rnacentral:tRNA from 1 species